UGGUUAGUUCAUAAUGUUGUUCCACCUAUA
rnacentral:piRNA from 1 species